rnacentral:misc_RNA from 1 species
GACGAACUGCGCAAACGUUAUUCGGAAUCACUGGGCUUACAGGGUGCGUAGGCGGCCAAUCAGGUCAGGUGUGAAAUCCCACGGCUCAACCGUGGAACUGCGCUUGAAACCGGUUGGCUUGAGUGAGCUAGGGGUGCACGGAACUUCCAGUGGAGCGGUGAUAUGUGUUGAUAUUGGAAGGAACACCGGAGGCGAAAGCGGUGCACUGGGGCUUGUCUGACGCUGAGGCACGAAAGCCAGGGGAGCGAACGGG